CAGUCGCCGCGGUAAUACGAGGGGGGCAAGCGUUGUUCGGAAUUAUUGGGCGUAAAGGGUGCGUAGGCGGCUUGACAAGUCUUGUGUGAAAUCUAUGGGCUCAACCCAUAGUCUGCACGGGAAACUGUCGGGCUUGAGAAUGGGAGAGGUGAGUGGAAUUUCCGGUGUAGUGGUGAAAUGCGUAGAUAUCGGAAGGAACACCUGUGGCGAAAGCGGCUCACUGGACCAUUUCUGACGCUGAUGCACGAAAGCUAGGGGAGCAAACAGGAUUAGAUACCCCCGUAGUCCCUGUCUCUUAUAC
rnacentral:rRNA from 1 species